UACGGAGGAUGCAAGCGUUAUCCGGAUUUAUUGGGUUUAAAGGGUGCGUAGGCGGGGUAUUAAGUCAGUGGUGAAAGUCUGCAGCUUAACUGUAGAAUUGCCAUUGAUACUGGUACUCUUGAAUACAAUUGAGGUAGGCGGAAUGUGUAAUGUAGCGGUGAAAUGCAUAGAUAUUACACAGAACACCGAUUGCGAAGGCAGCUUACUAAAUUGUGAUUGACGCUGAGGCACGAAAGCGUGGGGAUCAAACAGG
rnacentral:rRNA from 1 species